rnacentral:misc_RNA from 1 species
UCCUUCUCUCUCUCUAUCUGUAUUUCUCUCACUUUGUCUCUCUCCCAUGCUUCUCUCUUUUCUUAUUUACUUCUCUCUCUUUCUCUCUCCUAUCUCUCCUCCCAUUAAGUCACUCUGUCUUUCUUUCUCUCUCGCCUAAUUUUUUAUCUCUCAAUUAGCUGAAGUGAAAGAAGAGGAUAGUUCAAUAAAAUUAAGAGAUAUAGGGAGAGAGUUGGAGAGAGAGGCAAAUAGGAAGAGAGAGAGAGAGAG